rnacentral:lncRNA from 1 species
AUUCCAGAUCACUGAACCGAACUUCAUUUUGCUUGGCAACUUUGCCGAAAUCUGAGAAGUGCCAGUUUUGGACUUAGCGUUUUCACAGUUUUACAGAAUUAUUUGUGGCGUGCCGUGUCGGAGAGGAACCAGACACCAAGGAGCAGUAAAAGGAAUUUCCACGGGGCGUUGCCAGGUUGCCCUCCAAGAGAUCUUGAUCCUCGACGAUGGUCCACUCGGAAAUGACCGUCCCGCCGGAACCAUCUCCAUUCCCUCGGAGUGGCCUGCUGGUAUAAGUAGGACGGUGACUAAGGCCAUCCGGGUGGAAAUGAAGACGG